ACGGAAGGCAGCAGUGGGGAAUAUUGCACAAUGGGGGAAACCCUGAUGCAGCGACGCCGCGUGAGUGAAGAAGUAUUUCGGUAUGUAAAGCUCUAUCAGCAGGAAAGAAAAUGACGGUACCUGACUAUGAAGCCCCGGCUAACUACGUGCCAGCAGCCGCGGUAAUACGUAGGGGGCAAGCGUUAUCCGGAUUUACUGGGUGUAAAGGGAGCGUAGACGGCUUUGCAAGUCUGAAGUGAAAGCCCGGGGCUCAACCCCGGAACUGCUUUGGAAACUGUAGAGCUAGAGUGCAGGAGAGGUAAGUGGAAUUCCUAGUGUAGCGGUGAAAUGCGUAGAUAUUAGGAGGAACACCAGUGGCGAAGGCGGCUUACUGGACUGUAACUGACGUUGAGGCUCGAAGGCGUGGGGAGCAAACAGGAUUAGAUACCCUGGUA
rnacentral:rRNA from 1 species